AUUGAACGCUGGCGGCAUGCCUUACACAUGCAAGUCGAACGGCAGCACGGGAGCAAUCCUGGUGGCGAGUGGCGAACGGGUGAGUAAUGUAUCGGAACGUACCUUUCAGUGGGGUGAUAACGUAGCGAAAGUUACGCUAAUACCGCAUAUUCUGUGAGCAGGAAAGCAGGGGAUCGCAAGACCUUGCGCUGAUUGAGCGGCCGAUAUCAGAUUAGCUAGUUGGUGAGGUAAAGGCUCACCAAGGCGACGAUCUGUAGCGGGUCUGAGAGGAUGAUCCGCCACACUGGAACUGAGACACGGUCCAGACUCCUACGGGAGGCAGCAGUGGGGAAUUUUGGACAAUGGGCGCAAGCCUGAUCCAGCCAUGCCGCGUGAGUGAAGAAGGCCUCGG
rnacentral:rRNA from 1 species